AUUGAACGCUGGCGGCAUGCCUUACACAUGCAAGUCGAACGGCAGCACGGGAGCUUGCUCCUGGUGGCGAGUGGCGAACGGGUGAGUAAUACAUCGGAACGUACCCUGAAGUGGGGGAUAACGUAGCGAAAGUUACGCUAAUACCGCAUAUUCUGUGAGCAGGAAAGAGGGGGAUCGCAAGACCUCUUGCUUUAGGAGCGGCCGAUGUCGGAUUAGCUAGUUGGUGAGGUAAAGGCUCACCAAGGCGACGAUCCGUAGCGGGUCUGAGAGGAUGAUCCGCCACACUGGGACUGAGACACGGCCCAGACUCCUACGGGAGGCAGCAGUGGGGAAUUUUGGACAAUGGGCGGAAGCCUGAUCCAGCCAUGCCGCGUGAGUGAAGAAGGCCU
rnacentral:rRNA from 1 species